GAUGAACGCUGGCGGCGUGCCUAAUACAUGCAAGUCGAGCGAACAGAUGAGGCGCUUGCUCCUCUGACGUUAGCGGCGGACGGGUGAGUAACACGUGGAUAACCUACCUAUAAGACUGGGAUAACUUCGGGAAACCGGAGCUAAUACCGGAUAAUCUCUUGAACCGCAUGGUUCAAUAGUGAAAGACGGUUUUGCUGUCACUUAUAGAUGGAUCCGCGCCGCAUUAGCUAGUUGGUAAGGUAACGGCUUAUCAAGGCAACGAUGCGUAGCCGACGUGAGAGGGGGAUCGGCCACACUGGAACGGGAACACGGUCCAGGCUCCUACGAGAGGCAGCAGUAGGGAACCUGCCGCAGUGGGCGGAAGCCUGACGGAGCAACGCCGCGUGAGUUAUGGAGGUCUUCGGAUCGUAAAACUCUGUUAUGAGGGAAGAACAAAUUUGUAAGUAACUAUGCACGGCGUGACGGUACCGAAUAAGAAAGCCACGGCUAACUACGUG
rnacentral:rRNA from 1 species